GGUGGUAUAGCUCAGUGAUAGAGCAUUUGCCCAGCAUGCAUGAGGCCUGGGUUCAAUCCACAGUACCCCUC
rnacentral:tRNA from 1 species